GUAGGUUGGUCAUGCCUCUGGUAUGUACUGGUCUCACUGAUUCCUCCUUCCUGAUGAACCGUAAUGCCAUUAAUUUGGUGUUGCGGGGAAUUUGGACUGUUACUUUGAAAAAAUUAGAGUGUUUAAAGCAAGCUAACGCUUGAAUACAUUAGCAUGGAAUAAUGAAAUAGGACGUUCGAUCCUAUUUUGUUGGUUUCUAGGAUUGACGUAAUGAUUAAUAGGGAUAGUUGGGGGCAUUAGUAUUCAAUUGUCAGAGGUGAAAUUCUUGGAUUUAUUGAAGACUAACUACUGCGAAAGCAUUUGCCAAGGAUGUUUUCAUUAAUCAAGAACGAAAGUUAGGGGAUCGA
rnacentral:rRNA from 1 species